rnacentral:rRNA from 1 species
AUGAACGCUGGCGGCGUGCCUAAUCCAUGCAAGUCGAGCGAACAGACGAGGAGCUUGCUCCUCUGACGUUAGCGGCGGACGGGUGAGUAACACGUGGAUAACCUACCUAUAAGACUGGGAUAACUUCGGGAAACCGGAGCUAAUACCGGAUAAUAUAUUUAACCGCAUGGUUCAAUAGUGAAAGACGGUUUUGCUGUCACUUAUAGAUGGAUCCGCGCCGCAUUAGCUAGUUGGUAAGGUAACGGCUUACCAAGGCGACGAUGCGUAGCCGACCUGAGAGGGUGAUCGGCCACACUGGAACUGAGACACGGUCCAGACUCCUACGGGAGGCAGCAGUAGGGAAUCUUCCGCAAUGGGCGAAAGCCUGACGGAGCAACGCCGCGUGAGUGAUGAAGGUCUUCGGAUCGUAAAACUCUGUUAUUAGGGAUGAACAAAUGUGUAAGUAACUAUGCACGUCUUGACGGUACCUAAUCAGAAAGCCACGGCUAACUACGUG